CACUGCCGAGCAUAAGGGGAGACACUCGUCUUCACAUGCACUGAUCCCACUAAGAAAAACAGUUUUUAGUUGUAUUUGUAAGAAAACCUCCAAGAGAUCAACAUGCCCAAGAGAAAGGCACAUGGAGCAGAAGCAGGAGAAAAGGAGGAGCCCCAGAGGAGAUCAGCUCGGUAUCGG